UACGUAGGGUCCGAGCGUUGUCCGGAAUUACUGGGCGUAAAGAGCUCGUAGGUGGUUUGUCGCGUUGUUCGUGAAAACUCACAGCUUAACUGUGGGCGUGCGGGCGAUACGGGCAGACUGGAGUACUGCAGGGGAGACUGGAAUUCCUGGCGUAGCGGUGGAAUGCGCAGAUAUCAGGAGGAACACCGAUGGCGAAGGCAGGUCUCUGGGCCGCAACUGACGCUGAGGAGCGAAAGCAUGGGGAGCGAACAGG
rnacentral:rRNA from 1 species